rnacentral:rRNA from 1 species
UACGUAGGUGGCAAGCGUUGUCCGGAAUUAUUGGGCGUAAAGCGCGCGCAGGCGGUUCUUUAAGUCUGAUGUGAAAGCCCACGGCUCAACCGCGGAGGGGCAUUGGAAACUGGGGAACUUGAGUACAGAAGAGGAAAGCGGAAUUCCACGUGUAGCGGUGAAAUGCGUAGAGAUGUGGGGGAACACCAGUGGCGAAGGCGGCUUUCUGGUCUGUAACUGACGCUGAGGCGCGAAAGCGUGGGGAGCAAACAGG